rnacentral:piRNA from 1 species
UGGCAGGGCUCAAACUGAAAGAGUGU